UACGUAGGGUGCGAGCGUUAAUCGGAAUUACUGGGCGUAAAGUGUGCGCAGGCGGCCGAGCAAGUCGAGUGUGAAAGCCCCGAGCUUAACUUGGGAACUGCGCUCGAAACUACUUGGCUAGAGUGUGGCAGAGGGAGGUGGAAUUCCAUGUGUAGCGGUGAAAUGCGUAGAUAUGUGGAGGAACACCGAUGGCGAAGGCAGCCCCCUGGGCCAAUACUGACGCUCAUGCACGAAAGCGUGGGGAGCAAACAGG
rnacentral:rRNA from 1 species